GCCAGCAUGGCGCAGUGGUUUGAGCGUUGGACUGUGACUUUGCAGACCUGGGUUCGAUUUCCCGCUCAGCCA